AACGUGGGAGACAAACGUUAUCCGGAGUUACUGGGCGUAAAGGGCGUGUAGGCGGUUAGUUAAGUCUGGCGUGAAAGCUCUCGGCUAAACCGGGAGAGGUCGUUGGAUACUGGCAAACUAGAGGACGGUAGAGGCGUGUGGAAUUCCGGGUGUAGUGGUGGAAUGCGUAGAGAUCCGGAGGAACACCAGUGGCGAAGGCGACACGCUGGGCCGUACCUGACGCUAAAGCGCGACAGCAUGGGGAGCAAACGGG
rnacentral:rRNA from 1 species